UGCGCAGGCGGAUUAAUAAGUCGGGGGUUAAAUCCAUGUGCUUAACACAUGCACGGCUUCCGAUACUGUUGAUCUAGAGUCUCGAAGAGGAAGGUGGAAUUUCCGGUGUAACGGUGGAAUGUGUAGAUAUCGGAAAGAACACCAGUGGCGAAGGCAGCCUUCUGGUCGAGUACUGACGCUCAUGCACGAAAGAGUGGGGAGCAAACAG
rnacentral:rRNA from 1 species